CAUGUCUCAGUACAAGCCGAAUUAAGGUGAAACCGCGAAAGGCUCAUUAAAUCAGUUAUGGUUCCUUAGAUCGUACCCACAUUUACUUGGAUAACUGUGGUAAUUCUAGAGCUAAUACAUGCAAACAGAGCUCCAACCGGAAACGGAAGGAGCGCUUUUAUUAGAUCAAAACCAAUCGGUGGCGGUCUCCGUCAUCGUACAACUUGGUGACUCUGAAUAACUUUACGCUGAUCGCACGGUCUCGCACCGGCGACGCAUCUUUCAAAUGUCUGCCUUAUCAACUGUCGAUGGUAGGUUCUGCGCCUACCAUGGUUGUAACGGGUAACGGGGAAUCAGGGUUCGAUUCCGGAGAGGGAGCCUGAGAAACGGCUACCACAUCCAAGGAAGGCAGCAGGCGCGCAAAUUACCCACUCCCGGCACGGGGAGGUAGUGACGAAAAAUAACGAUACGGGACUCAUCCGAGGCCCCGUAAUCGGAAUGAGUACACUCUAAACCCUUUAACGAGGAUCAAUUGGAGGGCAAGUCUGGUGCCAGCAGCCGCGGUAAUUCCAGCUCCAAUAGCGUAUAUUAAAGUUGUUGCGGUUAAAAAGCUCGUAGUCGAAUCUGUGUCCCGCGCCGCCGGUUCAUCGUUCGCGGUGUUAACUGGCGUGCCGCGGGACGUCCUGCCGGUGGGCUUAGCUCGAGAGGGCGGCCCAACUCAAUCCCGCCGCGGUGCUCUUCAUUGAGUGUCGAGGUGGGCCGGCACGUUUACUUUGAACAAAUUAGAGUGCUUAAAGCAGGCUAAAACUUCGCCUGAAUACUGUGUGCAUGGAAUAAUGGAAUAGGACCUCGGUUCUAUUUUGUUGGUUUUCGGAACCCCGAGGUAAUGAUUAAUAGGAACGGAUGGGGGCAUUCGUAUUGCGACGUU
rnacentral:rRNA from 1 species